UACGUAGGGGGCAAGCGUUGUCUGGAAUCAUUGGGCGUAAAGAGCGUGUAGGCGGCCCGGUAAGUCCGCUGUGAAAGUCCAGGGCUCAAUCCUGGGAUGCCGGUGGAUACUGUCGGGCUCGAGUCCGGAAGAGGAGUGUGGAAUUCCUGGUGUAGCGGUGAAAUGCGCAUAUAUCAGGAGGAACACCAAUGGCGAAGGCAGCACUCUGGGACGUGACUGACGCUGAGACGCGAAAGCGUGGGGAGCAAACAGG
rnacentral:rRNA from 1 species